UAUUAAUUGUAGACCAGUAUGAAAGGCAAAAUGAGGGUCUAUCUGUCUCUUAUAAUGAAUCAAUUAAACUGAUCUUCUAGUAAAAAAGCUAGUAUUCUAACAUAAGACCAGAAGACCCUGUGAAGCUUAAACUAAAAUAUUAAACCACAUAAUACAUACUUUUGGUUGGGGCGACCUUGGAAAAAAAAAGAACUUCCAAACACAUGACUAUAACUCAUACCAAACAUAGGCCCACAAGCCCUUUAUUAUGACCCAGUACAACUGACAACUGAACAAAGUUACUCCAGGGAUAACAGCGCCAUCUUCUUCAAGAGUCCAUAUCAAAAAGAAGGUUUACGACCUCGAUGUUGGAUCAGGACAUCCUAAUGGUGCAGCCGCUAUUAAGGGUUCGUUUGUUCAACAAUUAACAGU
rnacentral:rRNA from 1 species